rnacentral:tRNA from 1 species
GCUCGGUUAGGCAAAUUGGUGAAGCCGCCACUCUUUCAAGGUGGAAACUGCGAGUUCGAACCUCGUACCGAGUA